AAUUAUGGUGAGGCGUGCGGGGCAGCCGCAAGGCUGGCCGGGUUCUCGAGUGACCGGUAGUGCUAACCCUGUGCGUCUCACCACCCAU
rnacentral:antisense_RNA from 26 species